CAGCGGAUUUCUUGAAGUGCAGCGACAUUCUAUGGCAGCGAACAAUGUGUAUCCACAUAACCUGUAAUAAGUUUUUGUUCGGUGCAGAAACAACCAUGGAAAACAUUAUAUGGAGAAUAUCUCAUUUUGCAUACGAGUAUUUCGCUGAAAAAGAAAAUUCUGUGAAAUCAACAUUUUGGGCUACAUAGUCGUUGUUAAAGUCAACUCUGUUAAUAUAAAACAGCAUAGAUAUAAUCUAAGUACACCAAGUUCUCAAGCAAAAAAUAUAGGUUAUGUUUCCCAGAAAUCAAAUAUAUUUACAAGAGAAAACUUACGAAAAUUUUUAACAGAGGCCCGUGAUUAAUGUACCUAAUGUCAAAGGUAUAUUUUUUAUUCGAAGUUGUAGGAGUAUGCGGAAUGGAAGAAUUUGAACAAUUUUCUUGUAUCUACAUAACCUAUAAUAAGCUUUUAUUAUUAUUACAGAACAGAUUAUUAGCUUACAUGCCCAUUUUAAAUGAAAGUAUGAAGCAUACCUCUUAUUUUUCGGCACUUUUAAUAUUUUUGCUUGCAGAAAGAUUUGUAGCAAUUGCAAAAUAGAGAUGGAUAGCAAUAAUAACAAGCAGUUUACAUGCAUUCGACCGAACUUGCAAAAACUGGCAGAUAAUAUAUCAAAUUUAUUACCUAAAAACUCAGCCACAGUUUAUGAAAAGCGGUAUGAAUUUUUUUUUUGCGCAGAAACAACCAUGCAAAAUAUAUGGAGAACACCUCAUUGCAUACGAGUAUUUCGCUGAAAAAGCAAAUUCUGUGAAAUCUUUAACACUUUGGGCUGCAUAGUCGUAGUUAAAGUCAACUCUGUUAAUAAAAAACAGCAUAGAUAUAUCUAAGUACACCAAGUUUUCAAGCAAAAAAUAUAGGUUACAUUGCCAAGAAAUCAAAUAUAUUUACAAGAGAAGACUUACCAAAAUUUUUAACAGAAGCCCGUGAUUAAAUGUACCCGAUGUUAAAGGUUUAUUUUUUAUUAGAAGUUGUAGGAGCAUGUGGAAUGGAUAAAUUGAAAAAUAAUGACGGCAUUCAAGACAAAAA